rnacentral:rRNA from 1 species
UACGUAGGGUGCAAGCGUUGUCCGGAAUUAUUGGGCGUAAAGAGCUCGUAGGCGGUCUGUCGCGUCUGCUGUGAAAACUCAGGGCUUAACCCUGAGCUUGCAGUGGGGUACGGGCAGACUAGAGUGCGGUAGGGGAGACUGGAGUUCCUGGUGUAGCGGUGAAAUGCGCAGAUAUCAGGAGGAACACCGGUGGGCGAAGGCGGGGUCUCUGGGCCGUAACUGACGCUGAGGAGCAAAAGCGUGGGGAGCGAACAGG